ACGUUUGCAUGUGGGCUGCUCGCUUGUGCAUACUGAAUAAUGCAUUUGCUGAGGUUACCAACUAAUCUUUUUUUCUUACUGAAUUCUGCUCUCACUUUGGUCAAAAAGAAACACAAAAGGCAAGACAAAAUAAGUGCAGGAGGCCAAUGAUUAGCACCUUCAUUUACCUCCAAAAGGAAACAGCUGUUGUGGUGCCAGGCAACAAGUGGUCCCAACUUGCAGAUUGCGGGGAUUAACUGAAUUUGCCACUGUCAGUUUCCUUACGGGCCUGAUGUUCAUUCACGGCAUGAACGCUGAUCGGUGCGUGUACAAGCCACCUCUGGCUGCAUGCUGAUGCCUGGAUCUCUGUGCCAAAUCUCCUCCUGUCCUCUCCUUCAACGACUCAUUUCAGAGCUUAACGAAGAGGCUGACACAAAACAUGAAGAAGGGCCCUUGAGCGUGCCAGCAUUGCAUUUAGCCCAGGUCAUCCAACGUUGGAUGCUGCCUCGUAAACAGCGACUUGGUGUUGUGGUGACUCAAAGCCAGGUUAAUCCACCAUUGCCACAGAUGGAAUCUGAUUGGGGAUUUUCAUCUUGUUAUUUUUGCCUUCAUCCGCCUGAGUCUGCCUUACUUAGGCUUUGGACAAUUCCUCCAGGGAAUGGAAGGGUGAGCACUUUUGUAAUAUCAUGACUUGAUAGGAAAUUCACAGCCUGAAAGGGUCCUCACUGCCUUUUUUAUACUUAUAUAUAUAAAGACACUCUGAUAAGACCCACAAAUUGGGAUGAGGCUCCCAUGCCCACCUGCUUUUGAAGAGAAAUGAAUGGGCUUUUUUUUAAUGUUUUUUUUCUUUCUUUCUUUCUAUAUGCUGCAUGGAUGUCUUUGACCAUGAUGCAUUUGUUCAGUUCCAGUUUUUCUUGAACGCAAGAGCUCGUCCUGUGCGAACAACCCUUAAUAGUGUUUCAUAAGCCUCUUUGUGUAAUUACAAUGCACCUGAUGGAACAUGAUGGAGUCAUUUAGAGAGUGAAUUAAAAAUUCCUCCUUAAAAGCUUUAAAGAAUUGCACACAUUACAGAUUAUACUGGUUUGCUCAUCAAAUCACACACAGAAAAAAUCUUCCACAUUUCAUAUGCGACAGGUUAAAUAGAUAUUAUAAGUGUCUGACAGC